rnacentral:lncRNA from 1 species
ACUUGUUAAAGUUGUGUACGUAUGUCGUAUUUGUGCAUUGCGGUGAUAUAUUUUGUAUAUUUCCGCAUAGUGCUGAUGGAAGUCCGUGGUCGCCAACAGAGACAACACGGAUUUGUAGCAGACAUUUUGUUGGAAACUGCAAGAAUGACAGUAACCAACACCCGUCGUAUGUGCCGACCAUUUUUCCGGCGGCGUACAAGAAACGGACACCUGACCCAGAAGUGGCGCAGAGGUGGAAACGGCGUUUUGAAAGGGCAGCCAGAACAAAUUCUGCGGAGCAGGCUGUGCCGCAGAGUACUCCUCAAGUUGAUCCAGCAGUGCAAGAUCAAGAUACCACUGCUUGCCUGGGCUUCGAUGACACACUUCUAAGUGAUUUGGAAUCACCAGAGAUGCCUCUUGCACCCAUCAGUGAUGAUGACCCUCAGCCUUCGGCAGUACCUUGUGAAAGACUAGGACAGGCUCAUCCAGUUACACAAGCUGAUGCUGUAAGCAUACGUUUUUGAGAUAUCGAAUUUGUUUUUGUGUUUACCUGUGAUUUCACUCAGGCUGCCUACAUUGAGCAUUGCGUUAAAUAAUUGGCAGUCUCUUUUAUUUUUGCAAACCCCGCAGGCAUGCCAAACAGAGCCAGAAUGCCGAGGAAACCUGAUCAUCCUCCUGUCAACAACAAACGGGUCUGAGGCAUCAACUCAAGUUUCUCACACCGAACAAUGUGACAAGGUCACUGGGACUGAUGGAAGCUGGAAGAGGAAGUGUGAAUUCUUUGGAUUUGAGACACUUAAGCAAAAGGAGACUGCUUUGCGAGAUA